AUUGCUUCUUGGCGAAAUUUAGCUAACAUCAAUGUGUAUUGUCCGUUUUUAUCAGUAUAAUAUCUGAUAUGCCUCAUAUUGUGAGAUCCGAUAGUUAUACUGUUUCCUUGGAACAUGGUGGAAUGUUAGGAGCUUCAUGCUCUUCAGCCUCGAGUUGGCCCAAUAUUGCAAUAUCAUUGGGAGUAUCCUUAUUAAA